AAGUCGUAACAAGGUUUCCGUAGGUGAACCUGCGGAAGGAUCAUUACCAAAUCCAAAACUCUUUUUAUAAACCCACUUGUGUGAAGUAACGAAUGAAAAAGAAACUUCUUUUUUUCUGAACCAACAAGGAAUCUUUUUGUUUAAGCAAGAAUUAUAUAAAACUUUUUUGAGAAAAGAGAAAAACAACUUUUAACGGUGGAUCUCUUGGCUCGU
rnacentral:misc_RNA from 1 species